rnacentral:tRNA from 1 species
GCGGGGGUGGCGAAACGGCAGACGCAGCGGCCUUAAAAGCCGCGGGCCGGCAACGGCCGUGAGGGUUCGAGUCCCUCCCCCUGCACCA